rnacentral:misc_RNA from 1 species
AACCUAGCACACCUGCGGUGUGUACCUGCGGAAGGAUCAUUACCGAGUUUACAACUCCCAAACCCCUGUGAACAUACCUAUACGUUGCCUCGGCGGAUCAGCCCGCGCCCUGUAAAAAGGGACGGCCCGCCCGAGGACCCUAAACUCUGUUUUUAGUGGAACUUCUGAGUAAAACAAACAAAUAAAUCAAAACUUUCAACAACGGAUCU